CACUUGAACUGUCAUGGCAAAUUCCUACCUUCUAGUCCUCUUACCAGGAGAAAGGCAGAAUAUACAGGUAUGGAGGCUAUGGAGACAAAUGCCGGGGAUCACCAGGUAACCAGCUACCUAUGUGUCCAUGGUUACAUUUUUGACAGCCCAGUUAGCUUUUGGGGGCUUUUUAAAUGUUCAUAUGCGCUGGAGCAGUCCACACAGUGAAAUGGGAAGGAAGUUUUGCAUCACUGCAGAAAUAUACACUCAUGCGAAGGCACAGGCUACAAAUCUGCCUUGAGCCCUAGUACAAUGGUGAAUUUUGAGGGGAAGGCCCUCAUAAUACCUGUCACAGCAAAGCCACUUGAAGAGUCCAAAGAUGCAACAACCUUCAUUGAUCCAUAUUACCAAAUUAGUUCUAGCAGAAGCAAUUAUCUUAUAAAGUUACUGAGUCCUAUAAUCCAUUAAUAAAAUUAAUGAGUCUUACAGUCCAUUCAUAACCAAACAACCUCCAAAAUAUUUUGUGCUACUAGAUGAAUAAAUAGCCCAUAAGAAUACAGAUGGAUGGAUGGCAAGAUGGAUGGAUGGCAUCCUUGAAGUGACUGGACUGACCUUGAAGGAGCUGGGGGUGGUGGCGGCCGAUAGGGAGCUCUGGCGUGGGCUGGUCCAUGAGGUCACGAAGAGUCAGAGACGACUGAACGAAUGAACAACAACAAAGAAUACAGUGUUGCUGGGAAAAUACCUCCAGCUACAGUGAAGGCUCAAGUUAUAGCAAGGCUUGGGGUGGUGGGGGUAUAUUUCUAGUGAUCCUGCUAAGCAAAAGCCCUAGCACUUGGACCCUAUGACCCUGAUUCCAUUACACCAAUGGUCAUGUUUGUUUCUGAUGUCCUAUAUGUUUUACACCUAAGUGGUCUCACUCUAGCAUUCAAGACUGCUGAAAUCAUCUAAAUAGUACAUGUUCCUCAAAUCAAGUGUGCAAAUAACAUGUACAAACAGGUUACCUCUUCCCCUUAUCAAUUCCAAGGGAAAGAUUCCUUUUCCCAGUUGCAUUCUAGGUAGAAAUCUUGCACACUAGUGAAGAAAGGUUGUAUAAUCAAUCAAGGAUUACUUCAGCAAGCUAGAAACAACUGAACUGGAAACAUAGCAUGUGAUUUCUUCAGAUAUUUUGCCACUGCCAAACACGGGUGAAGAAAGGAGAAGAGAGAUACUGGAAAUGAACCAGUCGAUGAUCUGAUAGAAGAGACAGGAGAGUUUCAAAUUCACAGAUCAGUAGAACGCCUUCUGCUAGGGGAGCCAACUAUUUGGAUUAGGCUGUCUCCACUUAAGUGGAGAGAUUGCCAGCCUUUGAGGGUAAAAACUGGCAAAGCCUGUUAGGCAGGCUUUUAAAGCUGGGAGGAAGGGAAGUGGAGAACUUUCACUUACUUAAAUCAUCUGUUAUGCUUUUCCAACAAUUAAAUUAAGACAGAAGCUGAAGUAGUUCUGAGGCAGAUGGAUUAAACACACGCAAACACCCGAGCUCAUAACUGUAAUAAGUAACAAGUGGAAAUGGUAUUGAAUGGUAACAUACUUUAUACUGAUGCUGACCUCAAUGAAGAUUUCUAGAAUAACAAGGAAAAAUUGCCUAGACUAAUAGCUCAAUUCUGCACUAUCAAAAAAAUAAGAAGGAAGGGGCAUAGACAGAUAUGUUAACUUGACCCUCACUAUAAAUGUAUUUGUGGAACUAGUGCCUGCAAUUUUACUUAAUUGAAUUUUAAAAAGUUAUCUCUAGAAAUUUUCUAGGUCUUUCAGCAUGAUUUCAUGAUAUGCUUCUGCUGGAUAUUGACCAUGGGGUUGCUCUGGGAUAUCUAAAAAUGCCAGAGGUGUACUCUCUAGGCAUUUUCUAGGUUUUCCAGUGCGAUUCUAUGGUAUGCUUCUACCAAAAGUCAUUUCUUAAAAUAAGAUUCACUAUUAUCUGCAGUUUCUCAUUUCCAUAGUUUGCCCAGCUAUGUAUCCCCCAUAGAUAUGGGGAUUGUAUUGCAUUCCAAUAAUAGAGGAGAAUGUAAAGUUGAGGGAGGGGUGGACGUUGUUGUAUGCUGAAGGAUGGUCAGCUAUAGAAAGAGCAUAUUUUAUGAAACCUUUUUUAAAAGGUUAGCAAGGUGACCUAAGCAGAUAAGUUCCAUUGUAUCCCCAUAUUUGUAGCUCCCUGGUCAUGAGCUGCUUGCAGUCUCCAGCUUCCACUCCAAUCUACCACUAUCCAUUCUCUGUGCGUAGUGACUUUGUUGCUCUUUCCAAAAGUUUUGACUUUGUGUAAGAAUGCACUGGCUAUGUUUUCUUCAGGAGACAAACAGCAAUAGUAAGUAUAAAGAAA